UUAGCUAGAAGGUGUCAGGUUCAAUAGAGAUAAUAACUAGGACUCUAACGUACCUUGAGACAUAAGUUCGAAGUCUCAAAUAGUACUCUUCAAAACUGGAAAUCACGACUACUUCACGACACUGACGUGAUACAUCCCGUGAUACAACACGCCAUGCCCACUGAGUUUCUCGCCGGAUCUUCUCAGUUGGUCGCGUUUCCGUUCCGGUGGUAGAUUCUGUGAAGCACGGCUCUUGUUAGGGUUCGUGUUAGCAAAAUCGUCAGGUUUGAGCCUCACAUGGUCUCUAUAGACCAUCAGCUUAGGUAGAAAAAAAAAGUUAAUCCUUCUUCUUUAACUACGUCUUUAGAAAAACAGACACGUAUCUGGAUUUGAGUAGAGCAUAGUCUCAUUGAGAGUAAUAUCAUCGAGCGUAGUUAAGGCAACACAGAACUUCAGUCCCCUAUUUGUUUUUGCGGUGGUUAGUCUAAGAGAAUAUUAUGUGAAGAAAAACGACAAUGUGUAGACGUUCCAUCGUAUUAUGUAUUGCUCAGUAGACUCAUGGUCAUGUACUUGUAUGUAUCUUGAAAAGGUUGUUAGCUCGACUUAGAUUUUUGCCAUAUCUCUUCUAUGACAUGAUAGCUAGCGCUAGAAAAAAGUAAAAAAUAAUAAUUCAAAUGCUAUAUGGCACUAUUCCUAUGUCCAGCAGUGGGCAGAUAAAGGCUGAUGAUGAUGAUGAUGAUGAUGACUAUUCAUGUAACCAUUAACUUUCUGAUAAUAUGAUAUUAUUUCGUUGAUACGAUGAUAAUAGAUUAAAUGUAAUUUGUACUGAAUUAGGACAGAAAAUCUUGUCGAUUGAUAUCACUAAUCUAAUCGUAAUUCCGAGUUGCCAACGAGUCUUACUAAUGUUGCCAACGAUCCAACUCCUUUCCACACAUGUCUAAGCAAUUUGAAAAAUAGUCUACCCAUAGUUAAAAGAAUCCCUCGAGGGGCUGGAAUAACCGUUGCCACACAUUUGUCACAAUUAAUCCAGAUAUGUUACGUAAGCAACUCUACUCAAGACUGGCAGAACUUAUUUUUAUUUUCAUACAGCACACACACACAAUAAAAACUGAUGAACCGAAUCUAUCCUUGAUUCAAAAGAUUAAGAAUAGAUGUGCUGUAAGCUUCUCGCCUUUUGCCGCACCUCAAAUCAAACAUGAUGCCCCUCGUAAUCGCAACAAAAUCAUCGAAAACAAAAUCUGUGACGAGAUCUAAAAGGUGCCGCUCGCCUUUUGUUCUCCAACGACGUGCUAUCACCAGAUACCCCUGACACCCUUCAGGCCUUACGGAUAAAACAUUCUCCAGCUCCAAUAAGCACAUAUUUUCUCAACCCACCCAGCAAGCCAAGUAUUCCUUCCUUCAAAUCCAAAACAAAAAUGUUAUGGAUUUUUUCUUAUAAAAAAUGUUAUGGAUUUUAUCUUUUAAACCAGGUUGGCUGCAGGUUUGGAUGGAAUCUCACCCCAACAUUUGAAAGACUUAACAUUGCAUUCUCUGGGUGAUGCAGGGGAGCAACUUGUAAAUUCGAUCACAAAUUAAUCAACUUUAUGUAUUCCGGUAAUGUCGAUCCAGAAAUUGUUCCCAUUCUUUUCGGUGCGAACCUCAUUGCCCUCACAAAAAAAGACGGAUUUUUUUUUCCAGUUUCUCUAAAUUCACAGAAGAGCUGGGACGACAUAAACUGCAAAUUGACAUAUGACAAUAUUUUGAGCCGUGAGUCAAUACAGCUUCAUCAAAUACAGGACCAUUUUUUGAGCCUGACACGCUCCGAAUCGCUACCUGUCUACGGCUUAGGGUUCCGGUCUGCGCUCCUCAUAAAUGUCUCUGUGGCAGUGAUGUCGACAAGCUAGGACAUCACGGACUGUCAUGCCAAAAAAGUGCAGGCCGCUUCUCGAGACAUGCCGCACUUAAUGAUAUCAUACGUCGGUCCCUUGCCUCCGUCAACGUGCCAAGUCUACUUGAGCCGACUGGUAUUGCAAGAGACGAACGACAAGAGACCGGACGGUAUGGGUUUGAUUCCAUGGAAGAUGGGUCGGGUGCUGGUAUGGGAUGCAACCUGUUCAGAUACGCCCCUUCCCAUCUACAUGGAACUAACAAUAGAGCUAGUGCGGCUUGUGAAGCGGCUGAAAAAGCCAAAACUUGCAAAUACAAGGGUCUAGGCUCGGAAAAUGUUUUGUCCCAUUCGGUGUCGAGACCCUUGGUCCGUGGGUACUAGCGCUAUAAGGCUUUUUGAGGAAAUAGCAAAAAGGUUAGUCGAUAUCACAGGAGACCGAAGAGCUAGCAGCUACCUUGGACAAAGAAUUAGUCUAGCUAUUCAAAGGGGGAACGCUGCCAGUAUCUUCGGAACCUUGCCUAAAGGGACUCCUUUUAAUAAGAUAUUUUAAUUAUUAAAUUAUUAUUAUUAUUUAUUAUUUAAUUUAUAAAUUUGACGGCGUUAACGAUAUUUAUGUUAUAUAGCACGUGCAAUAGAGUGACUCACACAAGCCAGGCGCGCCGGCCGUGUCGUUCCACUCGUAAACAAUAGCUGCAACAGAAGUGACUCAUAAGCCAGCUGCGCCGGCUAGUAUAAAAAGGCGGAACGUGCCUUGAAAUGAACAUUCGUUGGACUGCGCUUGCCUGGUGCACUUACUAUAUCCUUGUUACGUUGUGUGAUUCAGUGACUGUUGUACGUACUGGUUAAAGUUGGACAAGUGUUAAAGUGAAUUGUUAAGAUAACAUAUUGUUGAUUAAAUCAGGAACCAAAAAGUGACAUCGUUUUACUUGGUGUUCAACAAGAUAAUGUCUACCCGCAAGCUUACAAAUUUAUAUGUCUGCGGCGCGCCAGGGAUGGCUAAGCGGUAGUUUCCGUCAUCACUCGUAUUUGGUUGAACUCAGUUUAUAAAAAGUCAACAAAACCUUUUGAAUAAUAAUUAUUGAAACUCAACACACACGACUUACACAAUGACAGGGUAAACCGACAGUUUCGUUCCACAUACCGACAGACCGACUGACUGACUACCAGAGACUCACUGACUGAGACGGACGGACCGUCCGAUACGGACUGAAUGACUGUCUGACACGGAAUGCCACGACUCUGUCCACGUACCGCCAUUUUAUACUGUGGCGUUACGGAGUCUACCCUACCACCUACCAUAAUGGUGUAAUUUCCUCAACAAUUUAUUAUGUUCAACACAAUCAAAAGCUAUAGAUAAGUCGCAGAAUACCCCAAGGGCAUUAGGCGAUUCCGCCCAAGCCUGAAAAAUAUUUUUAAUAAGAUCUACACCUGCAUUUAUAGUCGAACGACCUCUCUCUUCGCCUUUCGACGAAACCAUCGAUGGUGGAUUGACGAUAAAAACCACGUACACAGUUGAUGGCAACACCGUAACUCAUGUUAUAGAGAAUCCCAAUGGCACAGCACAUUCAAAAGGGAAUACGGUGACACCGAACUAAAAGUAACUAUCACAGCUGAUAAAUGGGACGACGUCGCCUAUCGACAC